rnacentral:rRNA from 1 species
UAACCUGCCUCUUAGCGGGGGAUAACUAUUGGAAACGAUAGCUAAUACCGCAUAAAAGUCGGCAUUGCAUGAUGUUGACUUGAAAGGUGCAACUGCAUCACUAAGAGAUGGACCUGCGUUGUAUUAGCUAGUUGGUGAGGUAACGGCUCACCAAGGCGACGAUACAUAGCCGACCUGAGAGGGUGAUCGGCCACACUGGGACUGAGACACGGCCCAG